CCAGACUCCUACGGGAGGCAGCAGUGGGGGAUAUUGCACAAUGGGGGGAACCCUGAUGCAGCGACGCCGCGUGGGUGAAGAAGCGCCUCGGCGCGUAAAGCCCUGUCAGCAGGGAAGAAAAUGACGGUACCUGAAGAAGAAGCCCCGGCUAACUACGUGCCAGCAGCCGCGGUAAUACGUAGGGGGCAAGCGUUAUCCGGAUUUACUGGGUGUAAAGGGGGCGCAGACGGCGAUGCAAGCCAGGAGUGAAAGCUAGGGGCUCAACCCCUAAACUGCGCUUGAAACUGUGGAGCUUGAGUGAAGUAGAGGCAGGCGGAAUUCCCGGUGUAGCGGUGAAAUGCGUAGAGAUCGGGAGGAACACCAGUGGCGAAGGCGGCCUGCUGGGCUUUAACUGACGCUCAGGCACGAAAGCAUGGGUAGCAAACAGGAUUAGAUACCCCGGUA
rnacentral:rRNA from 1 species